rnacentral:rRNA from 1 species
AGUUCGGUCCCUAUCCGUCGCAGGCGUAGGAAAUUUGAGAAGACCUGUCCUUAGUACGAGAGGACCGGGAUGGACGUACCUCUGGUGUACCAGUUGUUCUGCCAAGGGCAUGGCUGGGUAGCUAUGUGCGGAAUGGAUAAGCGCUGAAAGCAUCUAAGCGCGAAGCCAACUUCAAGAUAAGAUUUCCCACCGCAAGGGUAAGACCCCAGAAAGACUAUCUGGUUG